rnacentral:rRNA from 1 species
GCUUAAGGCCAUACCACCCUGUCUGUGCAUGAUCUCGUCAGAUCUCGGAAGCUAAGCAGGGUCGGGCCUAGUUAGUGCUUGGAUGGGAGACCGCCUGGGAAUACCAGGUGCUGUAAGCU